GAGAGUGUGGUAUAGUGGUUUGAGUGUUAGACUAUGACUCUGGAGACCAGGGUUUGAAUCCCAGCUUGGCCA